GUUCCCCUCAUAUUAAAAUUUACUUUUAUGUUGAUUAUAAUAACUGUAUCAAUACUUCACUUGAAACAGAAUUCAUGUUUUUUUUUAUAGGUAAUCAGAGAAUUUUAUUCCUUAAAAGAGAGAACACGGGAGGUAUACAAUCACUUUAAGCAUGAAGGGAACAACAAGAAAUUAGGCAACCCUACAACAAGAUUUUUAGUCACUGCAUUAAACUAAGUAUACAAAGUCAAGUAAAAUAAUUCUCUUAUCUGCUCUGUUGUCUUUGUUUAGUCUUCGAAACAUCGAUCGUUCCGUUCUCUCCAUAUGCACUAUACAAUGCAUCCCGAGAUAAGAUUCCAGAGAAGUUUGCUAUCCUUAUCUCGAAGUUUUCUUCUCGAUGCCCGCACCAAGUCUUCUAUACGCUUAGGUAGUACCCAAUCCAUUGAUUGAGAAGUCAGAAUACUGUUCCAAAGCCAACGUACACCAUCACAAUGAAUGAAUAAAUGAUCAAUCAUCUCUCCAUCCUUCUUGCACAUAUUGCACCACUCGGUUACAUAAAAUCCUUUUCGUCGAAGAUUAUCCACCGUUGACACCUACCCCCUCAUAACUGUCCACAAUAGAAAUGCUACCUGUGGAGGCAAUUUACUUUGCCACACCAUCUUCCAAGGUAAUGAACUCUCCACAAAUCCCAAAAGGGAUUGAAAGUAUGAGCGGACUGAAAAAAUACUAUCUCGAGCCAACCUCCACCUGCUACAAUUACCCUCUCCUACCCGAAUUUGUAUCUCAUGCAGAGCGGUCAAAAACAACGAAUAAUCUUCCAAUUCCCAAUCCAGUAAGCCCCUCCCAAAAGUAAUAUUCCAACUAUAACCCCCAUUAUGGAUGUUAAGUACAUCACCCACCAUAGCAGCAAGCUCUAAUGCAAUGCGGUACAAUGAGGGAAAUCCCUCCUUUAACGGUUGAUUGCCACACCAACUAUUAUCCCAAAAUCUAAUAUCAGUGCCAUUUCCCACCACAAAAUUUAGUUUGUAAAAUCACUCCAUCCCCGUCGGAUAUACCUCCACAAACUCACCCCAUAGGAGCCACGACCCUCAACUGUACACCAACCCCCCUCCAUCACACCAUACUUUGCUCUAAUGAUUUCUCUCCAAAAGCUCUCCCUCUCCAAUCCAAAUCGUCACAACCACUUGCCCAAUAAAGCUUUAUUAAACAAAACAAGGCUCCUCACUCCAAGCCCCCCAUCCUCAUAGGCAAACAAAUAGUACCACAAUUAACCAAAUGCAUUUUCCUCUCCUCCCCUAACCCUACCCACAAGAAUUCUCUUUGAAAUCUCUCUAAUCUGUUUGCCACUACAACCGGAAUAGGAAAUAAUGACAAAAAGUAAGUGGGGAGAUUUGAGAGAGUGGAUUUAAUUAAAGUAAGUCGGCCUCCCUUAGAAAGAUACAUACGCUUCCACCCUGCUAACCUCCUCUCCAUUCUUUCCAUAAUACCAUUCCAGAUAUGUGUACUUUUAAACCGUGCCCCUAGCGGGAGGCCUAAAUAUAACAUAGGCAAUUGUGCAAUCCUACAUCCCAAUAUGCCAGCCAACUCCUCCACGUUAGUGACCUCCCCAACUGGAAUAACCUCAGAUUUCCCCAAAUUGAAUUUUAGAAACAGAAUUCAUGUUGUUUUGCAUUGUAAACAUUUCCGGCAUAUUCCACUUAAUGUCAUGGCUACUAGCUACAGCUACUGCUGAAUUCUAUUUGAAAGAUCAACCUGUCUUUCAGAAGAUUAACCUGGAAAAAUUACUUAUUAAUCAAUAAUCUCAAAGAUCUUCUGAGUUUCACAUGCUCAGUUAACACUUGGAAGCAGUCGCCCGAAACACCUAAAUAAUUAGGAGGGAUUUUCUUUAGUUCCUGACAACAUUCUUUAGCUUUCAAAUUUUGCAAAGAAACAUUAUAGUGAAGUGGAGAAACAGCCUAUCUCAUCCUUCUUCUAUUGGACCUUUUUUUUUUAAGUUGGAAAUUAGAGUAGAAUGAGUUCAUUGUGGAGUUCCUUUUUUGUGAAUAUUAUUGUUGUGCUAUAUCAUAUGCUUUUGAGAUUGUAACCAGCUAGAUGAAUUUAUCUUUUACAACCUAAAUUGUAAAGGCAAACCUGAGAUUCUGUAUUUUCUGAACAAUAAAAUAAAUAAUAUUAUUGUAAUGUCCUGUCGAUGUGUAUAUAUAAUUUCCCCAAUUUUUUAAGAGAGAAGUAAUUUAAAAAACAUGACUUAUAUUCAUGUUUGGGUGAAUAUGAUCACUUUUUACUAUAACCUUCCUAUUAUUUUUUCUUCGUAUAGAUUCCUGAAAUAGAAGAAUUUUGAGAUAGAGUUGAGUUCCCCCCUUUACAUUUGAGUGGUGAAUUCUAUGCCACGACUUCUUUCUUGUUUCAGUAAUUUGAAUUCUCCUCUUUUAAGUAUGAAGAUUCACUAAUCAAAUUUAUGUUUGUGUUGAAAGGAAAAGGAAAAGUCCUAUAAAAAAAAAAAGGAAAACGAAAAGUAACUCAACUUAUUGGUAUUUUGGUGCGAAAGUGGAAUUAAAGUUCGUGAAACAAUAAUAAAGUUGAACUAACUCGAAAAUUUGUAAAGAGUGAUUUUAUUGUAAUGGGUUGGUGAUUGAAAAUUUUUCAACGGCUUUCUUUAUAUAGGCAAAAUAAUGUUAAGGAAGAUAAGUAAUUAAAACCUAAAAGAAUAAUAAGUCCUAAUUUAAACAAGAAAAUAAAAUUUUAUUACAAGAAAUAUUUCUUGUCCUAGUUGUCAUAAAAAUUUCCUAAAUCAAUCUUUCUUACUUGGAAAAAACUCGUCCUCGAGUUUCUUUGAAGAAAAGAAACUUCAUUGGAAAAAUAUUCGAAAUUUCUGGAUCACGUUGUGAGGAUUCAAACUUAACUUGGACUCAUAUAUUGCACUCAUUGAAGUGACAAAUUUCCAUGGCUGUCAAAAUAUGCAAUUUUGAUCUUCUUACCUAUUCAGCCUACAUUCCAGAUUUUUAGAUCGAGAUUGGUAAUUUUUGCAAUUUUCCGAUCGUUGCGAGUAUGCAUGCCACUAUCACGUAUAUGUCAAUCAAUCAAGGGCUAAAUCUUGAUUUGAUACCAAUUUUGGUGUAGAAACGAAAUUGAAGUUCUUGGAAUAAGAAUAAAAUUGAACCACCUCGAAAAGACGUGGAGAAUAAUUUUCUUGUAAUGAAUUGGUUACUGAAAAAAUCAUAAAGCCUUUUGUUUAUAUAUGCCAAAAUAAUCUUCUAAUCCUAAUAGCUUAAGGGGGUUAAAUAAUUAAAACAAAAAAGAAAAAAAAAUAGAAACCUAAAAGAAUUAAAAGCCCUAAUCUAAACAAGAAAUAAUUCCUCGUCCUUUUUGUGAUAAAAUUGUCCUACAUCAUAUUCACGGAUGAGAGCUGCUUCCAAAAAAAAAAAGAAAAAAAAAAGGACAAUGAUUAUGUUACGUCGUUGAUUAACAUACCAUAUACCAUAAAUUCUUUGGGGAACAUAAUAUUUUUGUCUGCUGCAUGGAGAAUUUAUUUAUUUUAUUUAUUUUUUGGUUCUACACUUGCACAUUAACCUAUGGUGCACUGUUCCUAUUUUUAAAUCUCAGAUCUCUAUAUCUUCCAUUAGUAGAAUAAUUUCCAGACAUGUCUUGUCUGCCUCACUGCUGAAAAUAUUACUUAUCUCAUAAUGUAGACGAUGGCUUCUUCCUUGCAGCUAAAAUUUUGUUUUUCUGGUUGAUCAUAAAUUUUAUCUAUUCUCUUCCCUUGAGUACCAGGUUAAUCUUGGUUCCACCGUGGAUACACCGGCCCUGGUGCCUCUCGAUGCAGAUGUUUCUGCUUCGAUCCACAAUGGAUUUGGGUCGAAUGACCCUAGGAGAGGGGAAAGUGAAAUAAAAGGUGUUGAACUUAGCCCAGAACAUUUAGCUCCAGGGGCUAACACACCAACAGAGAUCUCUCUUUUUCAGACGCUGAUUGCAGCUUUAAUUCCUGAAGAAGGAAAUCAAGAGCUUUGCAGCAGUGGAAAUGAAGACUGCAGAUUUGAUGUGUAUGGAUCUCGUUUUGAAAUGGAAAAAGAUAUGGAUUCACAUACUUUCUGCUCGCUGAGGUCUCAAAAUCGUGAUAUUUCCAGAUAUUCUGCUUCUAAUGGUUACAGGAUAAACGCUAAUGGAGAAAUCUUCUAUGAACUGGACCCCACGUUUCCAGAUCAUGAUGGCAGUUCUAUUCCAGACACUGGAAUUAUUCCAGUCUGCAAUCAUUUGCAAAAUGGUUUACUUUCAGACCAGAUUACACCUGGCGUAGAAUGUUCUGAAUAUCAGUAUAGUAAUAUGUCAAUAAAUGAAAGACUUCUCGUGGAGAUUCAUAGUAUUGGACUUUACCCAGAUUUAGUGGUAUGUUUGUUUUUCCUUCAAUAUGCAGAUAAUCUUGUAUAAUACGUUAUAUUUUCACAGCCUUUCCCUGAUUUCUCUGCAUUCCUGUGAUUGCCAUGCCCUUUUGAUCAGCCUGAUUUGUGUCAGAAUGGAGAAGAAGAAAUCAGUGGAGAUCUUAGUAGAUUAGAUGAGAAGUAUCAAGAAGAGGUAAGAUCAGAUGUUUACCUCUCCUCUUCCUAUUUCUCUACUGCUCUGUCAAUUCAAAGAAAUAAGAGAGAGAGAAGGAAAAGAAAAGAACCCUAAAGGAAAAAGAAAAGAAAACGAGGGUCUGUACACUUAUUACGCAAGGAUUUUGGAAGUUUCAUAUCCUGCUUAGAUCAUCAAUCAUGAUGCUCAGAAUCCUUUUUCAUUUAUGGAGUUGAAUACCAAUGGAGCAUGCAACUAUUAGUUUUCCACUCUCUCGGUGGUUUACCCUGUAACCUUGAUGUCGAUGAGAUGUACUUUUUGUGUGAAGUUUCUUAAAAUCACAAUUUUCUACUCAACUAUUCUCUUUUUGUUCUUCUGGUUAAUGUUGAAUCUGAACAUGUUUAGUUCUGGAAUUUAAUUCAAACCUCUGAUUUUGCAUAUGUUAGAUACUUCUUUUUAUAUAGUGAAGCUUCUAGAUUUCAGUGAAGUGUAUUAUUCAUGUCAGGAGCCUUUCUCAUAUUUUAGUUGAUGAAUAGGUUUCAAGGAAGAAAAGUUUGCUUGGCAAACUGCUAAAUUCAGCUUCUGAGGCUAAAGAGCUUCAAGAAAAGUAAGGAGUUUGUUCUUUAUUUUCAGACGUGGUUUAUUUGUGAUUUUUACUUGACUAUGAGUGCUUUUUGUCAAUAACCCAAACACUUUAUUCUAUCACAGCCUGUUCGAACAGUGUGCUUUAGAGAAACUUGUAGGAUUGGCUUACGAAAAGUACCGGGUAUUUUUUCUAUUCUAUAUCCUUUCUUUAUUUAAUUGAUUUUAAAUGCGCAUUUCCCUUUUAAAAGUAUGUAAAUAUAAUUUGUCUGCGUCAUGGAUUGACACAUCAAAUUUAUUUGUGAAUAUUACAUGUAUAUCCAUCAAGUUUGUUUGUUACAGGGAAUAUGAUUUCGUCCAUGUCAAUAUAUUCUUCCACCUUAAAAUUUAUGACAAUCCUAGUCAAUCAUUUUUUCCUUUUUUACCCUACCUUUUUUAUCAACUGGAAAAAUUAGUACAAGAGGCAGGGUGACAUACCAGCCUUACCUCCGAAGGUCGAGGAAGAAAAAGAAGGAUUAGCAAAAGCUGAAAUUGAAAGUACUACUCUUGUUAUAGUGAGCCAUUACAAAAUUUAAAUUUGGGAGUACUACACUCAUUACAACAAUAGAGACAGAGGAAUGCAGUAACUCAAUUGACCCAAGAAAACUCAAGAAAAUAAUAUAACUAAGUCUGCAAGCAGGCACUAAAGACAACCAAAUACACAAGCAAAUUACACAUAGCAUGAGUAUGCAGUCACAUGUGCAGUAAAUUAAAUAAAAUAAAGUAAUGCAAUGAUGGAUCCUACAGUAGGCUGGAAAGCAAAUAUGCAAUAACCUAUGGCCUAAUAUGCAGCAGUCACACUACAUGGAAAUGAAUAAAUCCUACUGCUUUCUCUUCCAUUGUCCACUUGAGACUCAUUCUCAAAUAUAGAAAGCAAACUUUGGUAUGGAUUUAUUAUCAGAUCUGGGAGAGAUUCAUCACCGAAGUUUUGGUAAGCAUUGGAAAAGCAUCCCAGCAGGUUAUUGAAGAAGUAGACCAAUCUCAAUCAUCUACUUUGCAUUAGAAAACAAGGCUGUUUAGUCAGUUUCUUUGGGGCCUGCAGAUAGGGAUUCUCGUUCUGUCUGUAUGUAAGAUGCCAAUAAUCGUCCCCAUUAAGUCUUUAGCAUAUAAUAUUCUGCUCUAUUUAGUUUUGUUAUCUUUAUUUUUUAUUAGUCAGUCUUAGAAUCUUGUUCAGUCUUAAAAUCAUGUGACCAUUAUUAUUGAAUCUAAUGCUGUUUUAGUUGUUGAAUCUGCCGGACAUUUUGUAUGUCAAUCCUGAAGAUAUAGUUACUAACACACUAGGAAAUUCCAUAUCUUAAUAGAACGGAGAUUUUGGUAAGAUUAUUGAUGUUUGCUAUGGGAAUGCUUUAUGUACAAUUGUAAACAUAAUCAAAUAUCCCUACCCACCUAAACAAGAAAAACAAAAGAAAAGAUUAAGAAGAUCAGAGACAAAAACAUAUUAAGCCCUUGUUUGAGCCCCAUUUUGGAGGAGAAAAUGAAUUUUUGAAUAGUGUAUUGAUGGGAAAUGUAUGGCUAAAAAAUAAGAAAAAUUUUUGAUUUGCGUAUAAUAUUAUUUUAUUGAAAAAUGUGUGAUUGAAAUGGUGUCAAAUUACUGUUGAAGAAUGUAUUUUGUUGAAAAAAUGGGGCUCAAACAAGGGCUAAAUAUGAAAAAGAAGAAAAACGAACAAAGACUGGAGAUUGCUUCCUUCUCGAAAGUCUAGUUUCCUUAUAUUCACCUAUGGAUUGAAGGAACGAAAAAAAUAAUAUGACUUCUAGAAUCUAGAUCAUCUUUGGGUUGGCUUAAAAAGUUACUUAAGUUUAAUAAAUGAAUAAAUUUAAAUAAUAGUCAAUGUUGGAAAUGAUUAGUUAUUUUGAUAGUAAGGUCAGAAUUACUUUCAAAUGUGUUACCAAAAGUUAUUCGUCAUCCCUCCCAAUGGAGAUCCCUUUCGUCAAAUCCAAAACCACCCACCCAACACCUAAUCACCCAACCACCGCCUAACCACUAGUCGGUGCCGACGACAACUACGACGACGGCCAUAAGGCCCCAUUUGACAAACCCCAAAUCAUCGGCAGCCACAACUUGACCCACACAUAGGCGGUGCCCUAGGUGGAAACCUUAGCAUCACCAUCGAAAUGCUAUAAGUAGAGGCAUGCUUUUUUGGGUUGACAUGGAGGUCCUAGGCGUCGGCAAACAAGGCGGAAGGGGGGAGUCGAGUUACAUUAGGCACCAUCUGGGAUCCCAUCCCAGUUUACGCAAGAUGUGGCCGUCCUCCUGAUAGACGUGCCUGACCGGCGGACUUUGCAACCAUUCUGACGUCGAAGGGUCUGUGGCGAGGAGCACGCUCCGCUUCGACAGCUCGUCCGUCGACGUGUGAAGCCCACAUGUCUUCGCUGGAGAGUCUGAAAAAUCCUCUCAUCGAUUUUGGUUCAUCCUGCCAGCCUGUUCUAUCGUUAGAUACGUCAUUUAUACACAAUCAGGGGAAAAAGUUUGCUGAUGCAUACAGUAUGAUGGUUUUCAAUUGUCGUUUUAGAAUUGAGGGGAAGGAGUUUGCAGUGAUUGUUAAUGAUUUCAUAACUGUUAUGAGGACAUAAUAGAGUUCGAAGAUAUUGAAUGCAAUCUACAUGGAGAGGUUUGGUGCACUCUGGAUGGUGAAUAUGGUGGAUAAGUUGAGGGUGGCUAGUAAGUUGAAGGAUUUUGUCACUAAGUUCAAUGAGUCUUCAAGAGCUUUUUUGGCACAACGUUGUGAGAACAGUCGUCCUAGGUACUUGAUGGUACAUUGUAUGUGAAGGGGCAUCAGAAAGGAGUUGUGAUGGUGCCGAAAGACUUGAAUGGAGAGGGAUCGGCAUCAAUUUUGCUGGUGUUUUAGGUAGUUGUCAAUUCAUUCGUCACUAGAGACGAGACCAAAUGUCGAAUGGUGCCCGAAAGUAAUCAACAAGGAAUGACUUAAUGCCGGAGUUACGACGAACUUACAGGCUCCGCAGAAUGUUGAUCAAUGGGUGCUAAUGCGAAAGGAAAUGGUGAUUAAUGGGAGUGAAAAUGAAGGUUAAUUUAUGUUGCCUAAGGUUAUGGAAGCAAAUGCAGAAGGUGCACAUGGUAUUUUUUUGAAUAGCGCUGAAAUAAAGGCCCGUGUCUAGGCAUUAAACGGGGAGUUGCUGGAAUCAAUCAGGCUAUUGGGAAGUGGGUUUGAAGCGGGCUCCUAGAUAAUUUGUCACAAGUGUGGGGUGGGCAUGGAUGAGCCUUCGACGAUGGGAAAAAAGUAGCGAGUUUGGCUCCUAAGGAGUUAAACCGAAGGUGGUCCAUACGAAAGAAAAACAGGUGAUGAUUAAGUCCAUUUACGAUUCUCAGGCAUGGAUUGUAGCGGUGUACUCUAGUAAUGACGAUAGGGUCGGUUUAGUGGGGUUGUAUAGGGAUGUUAAAGACUCAGGGAUCAAAGCAAAUCGGGAGGUGGUAACUUGGUCCGAGGAAGGGGAGCCGAGUAUGGCGAAUAAGGAUUCAGUGACAAUGGGUGCGAUGGACACGAUUUCGUUAGUAGAGGGAGUUUUGUCAAUUGAGCAAGCGACGGGGUAUGUAUUGGUAGAGAAUUCAGUUUCAGCAAUUGUGAAAGAGCACGAGGCGACAAGCCCGACAACUAUGAUUGUGAACACAUACAAUUGGAGGUACUCUAAGUGCCUCAAAGGAAGGGACUUAGAAAAUGAAAAAGCUCUAGUGGUGUAGGUAGAUGGAGUCAAGAAAGGAGAAAUAGACAGUGAUGCAGGACAGGUGGAGGAAGUGAAGGGACAUAUCUAUGAUCGUUUGGAGUGUUGUCACGCAAAAAAUAUAGAAUCCACUCAUGGAGGGAGAAGUCCUUGCCGUAUCAGGUACUAAUCUAUUUUGAAGUUAGACCCCCCCACCUUGGAAUUAGGUUCUUCAAAAAAUUCAGGACUUCAGUAAGAUGGUUGGUGUGUCUUGUGAUGGAUAUGAAAGUAGACUCUUGUAAUUAUUUGAGGAACUGGAGGCUAGUAGGGGCAGGGAAUGAGUACACAAGGAGUUAAAUCAAGAAGAAGGGGUGAUUUUAACUUAAGUAACUCGAAUGGUCAGUAAACCAUGGCGUUAAGGGUAGUGACUCAAAGAAAGGAAUGUUAAGGAGGAUGAUGGAGUGCUAAAAUGAUCCUAAAAAUUAUUAACUGGAAUGUGAGAGGGCUUAAUGAAUAGGUGUUCGAAUCCUGUUAAGGGGAUGGAGAGCGGAUCUUGUCUGCCCACAAGAAACUAAGUCGGAGUUCCUCUCGAGGGCCGUGGUUAGUAACUUAUAGGGGACAUGAUGUAGGGUAUCAAUUUUUGGGGUCAUCAAGGGCUUUAGGAGGCAUGCUAAUCAUGUAGGACAUUAGAGUUUUCGAUAUGGAGGAGGUUAGUGUGGGGUUAUUCUUUGUAUCGCACUCAUUUAGAAAUAUUGGGGAUAGAUUCAAAUGGAUGUUUAUAGGAGUUUAUGGGCCUAACUAUGAUGAGAGUAGAGGGGGUUUGUGGGAUGAAUUGGCUGGUAUGAUAGCUUAGUGGAAUCUCCCAAUGUGUAUUGGGGGUGAUUUUAACAUGAUACGAUUUCCUUUUGACGAAUCUAACGACGGGAGACUAACGGGGGCUAUGAAGGACUUUUCAGAUUUUAUUUGGGAGAAUAUGUUGGUGGAUAUGCCAAUGAUUGGAGGAGAUUUUACUUGGUCAUCUAAUCGAGACCAUUAUGUUCUAUCUUAUAUAGAUCGAUUCUUGAUUAGUGGAGAGUGGGAGGCUAAGUACUCAGUUGUCGCGCAAAGGAGAUUAGGGAGAGUGUAUUCCGAUCAUUUCCUAUUCUUUUAUCUUGGAAUACAAGGGAUAGUGGAAGAAUGUCUUUUAGGUUUAAGAAGAUGUAGUUAAAAGUAAAAGGCUUUAGGGAGUGAGUAUGGACUUGGUGGGCUUCAUAUGAUGUCAAGGGAUCUCCCAGUUAUGCGUUAGAUUAGAAGUUGAAGGCUUUGAACGGGGAUUUAAAGAGGUGGAACGAGGAGGUGGUGAGCAAUGUAAACUGUUGUAAAAAUUAAAUGUCUUUCAGACAUGGAAGAGUUGUUUAGGCGGGAGGAGAGUCAAGGUUGGUUAGGGAAGAGGAGAGACGUGGAGUAUUAAGGGGAGAGUUGGAGAGGUUGGUGGAGAUAGAGGACAUUUCUUGGGGUCGCAUGGUUGAAAGAGGGGGACAAAUGCACCAAGUUUUUCCAUAGGGUCGCUUAUUCUAACGGGCGCAACAAUUCUAUCACAUUGUUGGAGGUAGAUGGGGUUACUUAUUAGGAUCCAAAGUAUAUCGGGACCCAAAUGGUGAGAUUUUAUCAGAAUCUUUAUUGAGAGCUGUUUGAGUGGAAGCCAGAGUUAGAGGGAUUGAAUUUUUCUACCAUCACGGAGGAGGAUGGUGGUUGGUUAAAGAGACCACUUGGGGAUGAUGAAAUUAAGGAGGUGGUAUUUAGUAUGAAUGAUGAUAAGGUAUCAGGAUCGGACGGUUUCUCGUUCUCAUUUUAUAAGGCGUGCUGGGAAGUGGUGCGACCAGACAUUAUGGAUGUUCUCACUUAUUUUUUUGAGUGUGGUAGGUUUUUGAAAAGUUUUAAUGUGACAUUUAUUGUGCUGAUUCCCAAGAAAUCAGGAGCAACUGAUAUUAAGGAUUUUUGCCCUAUUAGUUUAGUCAGUGAGUGUACAAGAUUAUUGCGAAAGUUCUGGCAAAUAGAUUAAAAGAAGUGCUAAGGAAAGUUGUCUAAGUUUCAGAAUGCUUUUGUGAAAGGGCACGAGAUUUUAGAUUCUGUACUUUUAUAGCGAAUGAAUGCAUUGACUCAAAUUGCUCUUGGGAGUUCUAGUGAUGCUAUGUAAGCUCGAUAUUUAGAAGGCUUAUGAUCACGUGAACUUGGGGUUCCUUUUGUACUUGCUUAGGUGAUGUGGCUUUGGGAUAAGUGGUGUAAGUGUUAUCAAUUUUAUAUCUCUACUAUAUUUUCAGUUUUGGUCAACGGUACUCUUGAAGGUUAUUUUAGGAGCAACAGGGGCUUAAGGAAAGGGGAUCCUUUGUUUCCAUUACUGUUUGUUAUUGUAAUGGAAGCUUUCAGUAGAAAGCAGGAGAAAGCUUUGAUGGAGGUUUGUUUGGGAAAGGUGAGCGAUGGCCCGAUCCUUUAAUGCAUCCUGCUGCUCCGCGGAGAAUUCCCCUCGCGGAUGGGGGAUCGAGGCUCGCUGUACGAUGCUAUCGAGUUCCCCCCUUAAGGGGCUUUACGGUUGGUCACGUGCAGGUGUCCCAUUUGUCAUUUACAGAUGAUACACUGAUCUUAUGGGAUGUAGAUGAUAAGUAAUUUAGGAACUUGCGCUGUUUGCUUCUAUGCUUUGAAGCGGUGUUUGGAUUGAAGAUAAAUCUGGCGAAAUUUGAGACUAUACCAGCAGAAGAGGUUGCUAAUGUAAAGGAGUUGGUUGAUAUAUUGGGUUGUAGGGUUGUGCAGUUGUCUAUGUCAUAUCUAGGGCUCUCUUUAGGGGUACGAUGUAAAAGUUUACAUAUUUGGAAUUGUAUUGUAGAAAGGGUGGAGAGGAGGUUAGCGGGGUGGAAACGUAUGUACCUAUCAAAGGGAGGUCGGUGUACUCUCAUUAAAUCUACUCUCUCUAAUCUUCCGUCUUAUUUUUUAUCAUUGUUUCCUAUUCCUAUUGUAGUAGCAAAUAGAUUAGAGAGGAUUUGAAGGGAAUUUCUUUGGGGAGGGUUGGGGGAGGAGAGGAAAGUUUAUUUGGUUAAUUAGGAUGAUGUUUGCUCUCCUAUGACGAUGGGGGUCUUGGAUUUAGGAGCCUUGUUUUGUUUAAUAAGGCUUUAUUGGGCAAGUGGUUGUGGCGAUUUGGAAUGGAAAUGGAGUGUUUUUGGAGAGAAAUCAUAGGGGCGAAGUAUGGUGUGACGGAGGGGGGUUGGUACUCGGUUAAGGUUCGUGGUUCUUAUGGGGUGAGUUUGUUGAGGUAUACUUGACGAUGGAGUGACCUCCAGGAUAGAUUGAUUUUUGCGGUGGGGAAUGGUAAUAAUAUUAGAUUUUGAGAUGAUUGUUGGUGUGGAGAUCAACCGCCAAAAUUGGGGUUUCCUUGCAUCACAUUGCCCUUGGGCCUUCUGCUACGGUGAAUUAUGUAUUAAGACAUUCACAAUAGGAGUUAUAGUUGGAAUAUUACUUGGUUUACAAGAUUGAGAAUUUGAUGAUUAUGUGCUGUUCUCCUUACAUGAAGUGGAAAUUCGAGUAGGAGGGUGAUCAUAGCAAGUGGAGGUUGGCACAUGAUGAUAUUUUUUCAGUUUGCACUUAUUUUAGAUCCCUUUUGGGACCUGUUUGAGAGUUCAUUCCCCUGGUAAAAGGUUUGGCAAUGUAAAUUGUCUCAAUGGGUGGCAAUUUAAACAACUUGUUCAUUCAUUGUGAUAGUGUUCGUUGGUUGUGGAAUAGUAUUCUAGCGUCUCAAUAUAUAGAUUGAGUGUUGCCUAGGCGCAUAGAAGAUGUGUUGCAUGCAUGGAGGAGAAAAUUUCGUGAUAAGGAUAGCAAGUUUGUAAGGGAUCUUAUCCCGCAAUGCAUUGUAUGGUGUGUGCGGAGAGAAAGGAACAGUCGCUAUUUAGAAGAUCAAACAUGGACGACAGAGCAAAUCAAAGGAUUGUAUUAUCUGACUUUGUAUACUUGGUUUAAUGCCGCAACUUCUAAUCUUAUAGAAGGACUACCUAAUUUCUUACUGUUUCUUUCUUGUUUAAAUUGAUAAUGCACUUCCUGUGUAUCUUCUUUUGAUUAAUAAAAUUACCUGAUUACCUAUAAAAAAAAGUGUUAUGAACUAUGUGUCUAAUUAAGGAAUAAACAUGAUGUAUGGUAGGAAUAUAAAGUCUUGAAUUAUUUUCUUGUUAGAGAGGAUUAUUUCCUUUUGAGAAAUAACCUCUUCAUGUAUAUAUAUUUGGUGAAUAGUUCCAAAUCAAUUAACAUGGUAUCAGAGCUAGGUUCUCAAAAUUAGGGCUUGCGAGUUUAAGAAAAUUUGUGGAAUUGUUCUCGGUGGUGGCUUUUUUCUGAGUCGGUGCUUUCUGUGUUGGAUCGACACUUAUCGGAGGUAAUUGUUGGUGGUUGAAGAUCAGGAGAGCCUUCUGUAGCAGCGGAAAUUGGGUUGCAUCGACUGUUCAUUGUCUUUUUGUGAUUUUGACUCUGUUUCUUUCCGGCUCCACGACAGACAACCCUGUUGACGUUGCGUGUAGCGGGUGUUGGGUGAGAGAUCGUCGUUUUCUCUUGACUUCUCUGGCUUUAUCGUUUCCUCUUCUCCUUUCGGUGGGUGAGUCGUCGUGUGCAGCAAUCUUCUGUGGCACCUACUAUAAACCAUCACUUAUCGUCUCCAUCUGCUGCUUCACCUCAGGAUUCGUCACCCUCUCUUGAUCCCAGUCUUGAUCUUCCCAUUACCCUUCAAAAAGGUAAACGAUCACGUACUUAUCCUGUUUCUUCUUUUGUUUCUUACCAUGUAUUGUCACAGUCUUCCAAGUCCUGUAUUGCCUCUUUAGAGUGCGUGUCAUUACCAUAAUCUAUGGUUGAGGCUUUGUCCCAUAGUGGCUGGCGAGCGGCCAUGCAGGAAGAAAUGAUGGCCCUGGAACAUAAUCAUACCUGAGAGUUGGUUCAUUUACCCCUUAAUAAAAAGGCAAUCGGAUGUAAAUGAGUGUUUACAGUCAAGAUGAACCCUGAUGGAUCUGUUGCUCGAUUGAAGGCUCGUUUGGUUGCUAAGAGGUAUGCUCAGACUUAUGGUGUGGACUACUCUGAGACUUUCUCUCCAAUUGCUAAGCUGGCUUCUGUUCGGUUAUUCAUUUCUCUUGCUGCUACUUUUCAUUGGCCACUUCACCAACUAGAUGUUAAAAAUGCAUUCCUUCAUGGUGAUUUACAAGAAGAAGUUUACAUAGAGCAACCACCCGGGUUUGUUGCUCAGGGGGAGUCCAGUAAGGUCUGCAAACUGUGAAAGUCAUUGUAUGGACUGAAACAAUCACCACGUGCUUGGUUUAGGAGAUUUAGUGAGGUGGUUAUUGAAGUUGGCUUGCAAAGAAGUGUAUAUGAUCAUUCAGUAUUCUUUAGACAGUCUAUAGUUGGGUGUAUUUUGUUAGUGGUAUAUGUUGAUGAUAUUGUGAUUACUGGGAGUGAUAGUAGUGGCAUAAGUAUGUUGAAAGCUUUCCUAGGCACAAGUUUCAGACAAAAGAGUUAGGUCCCUUAAAAUAUUUCUUAGGAAUAGAGGUCUCUCGAAGUGGUAAAGGAAUUUGUUUGUCUCAAAGAAAAUAUGUUCUAGACCUACUAGAUGAGACAGGUUUAAUGGAAGUAAAACCAGUUGAUGCUCCCAUGAUAUCAAAUGUGAAACUUGGGCCUGAAGAUGGAGAUGUAUUUGUGGAUGCAGAGAAACACAAGAGAGUGGUGGGAAAAUUGAACUAUCUCACGAUUACUCGUCCAGAUAUUGCCUUUUCAGUUAGUGUUAUUAGUCAAUUUAUGUCAUCUCCCAGAACUUCAUAUUGGGAUGCUGUAAUUCUUAUAUUGAAAUAGUUUAAAGGAGCUCCAAGGCAUGGAAUUCUUUAUAGAGACCAUGGUCAUUGUAGAGUUGAGGGUUUUUCAGAUGCAGACUGGGCAGAUUAUCCUGUUGAUAGGCGUUUUACUACAGGGUAUUGUGUAUUCGUUGGAGGUAAUCUGGUCUCUUGGAAGAGUAAGAAAUAAAGUGUUGUAGCUCGAUCAAGUGCAGAAUCUGAAUACCGAGCUAUGGCACAGGUAACUUGUGAACUUAUGUGGCUACAUUACUUACUUGGGGAGAUUGGCAUCGAUAAGUCCUACUCUAUGAACUUGUGGUGUGAUAAUCAAGCUGCUAUUCUCAUUGCUACAAAUCCGGUAUUUCAUGAGAGAACAAAGCACAUAGAGGCAGUCUGCCAUUUUGUUUGUGAAAAGGUUAUAGCAAAUUUCGACCAAGCAUGUUAGGGUAGGAGAUCAAUUAGUCGAUAUGUUUACUAAAGCGUUAACUGAGACUCGAGUAAACUAUAUUUGUAACAAGUUGGGCAUGAUUGAUAUUUAUACUCCAGCUUGAGGGGGGGUGUUAUGAAUUUUGUGUCUAAUUUAGGAAUAAAUGUGAUGUAUGAUAGGAAUAGAAAGUCUAGAACUAUUUCUUUGUUACAAAGGAUUAUUUCCUUUUGAGAAAUAACCUCUUCAUGUAUAUAUAUUUGGUGAAUAGUAAUGAGAAACGAAGGUUUUUUCCAAAUCAAUUAACAAAAAGUAAAAUGUCCAAACAUGAUUGGAAACAAAGAGUUCAGAAACAUGUUAUUUUCUUCAGUAAAUACCGACAUCUAUCAAAUAUCACUUACUCUUUGGAGAUGUCAUUUCUUCUGUGGGGGAAGAGGAAUUGAGGGUUGUGCUGUUUGUUCAGAACCUUCGAUGGUUAUGUAAGGUUCUUGAUAAGGGAGGCUACAUAGUUGAGAGGAAUUAGUACCUUUGGAUCCUCAAAGCUUGAUGAUUCAAUGAGCCCUGGGAUUGGCUCAGUUUCAAUGCUUUGAGUGUAUAGGAUAUGACAGGAAAAAUCAAAAGAUUUUGGAUAGUGAAGUACCCUAGGGGGUCAGUUGUGAAUGAACUAGGAGGAUGCUAACGGAAGUCAAGCAGCACGAGUAGGGUUUGAUUCCGCGGUGGAUGGUAUGGUCAUAGUGAACUGAGGAAAGGAUGGAUUCUGAAAAGUUUUACUAGCUGGGCUUGUAAAUAGCAGGGAGCUUAACUGGAAAAAAUGUUCAGUAAUUCAGUGCUGGAAUUCAUGAAAGAAUGUGGAGAGAAGGGGAACGUUUCUGGUUUGAUGUAGAGAAGUAGAUUGGAAGAAUUCAGUAGUUUCAAACUGACAUAGAUCAAAUCAGAUGUCUUCAUCAACCAUGGGAAGUACAGCUCUUGCAGCAUAGUAAUAUUGAAGAAUAAAAUUCUGGGGCAAUGCCUGGUCUUAUCCCAAGCAAUCAUGGAUCAAAGGUGUCAAAUGAACUUCGACUUGAGUUUGUGAGGACCUGCCUAAAUUAUCUGCCUAACCACUUGAUGAAAAAGUUUAAGUUGUUAGAGAUGGUCACAUAUAUAUCAUUUAAAUAUUUUCUUCAAUGCGCCCUCUCAGGUGCUGGCGGGAUUUAUUUUUUUCAUCAAAGCCUAACACGUGCACAAUCUCACUAAAUGCAUGGUGGCUAGACUUGAAAUUAGGACCUGUACUUUGAUAUUAUACCAUGGGGAACCAUUUGAUUUAAAAGCUUAAACUGUUGAAGAGGGCCAUGUGAAUAUCAUUUAAAUCUUGUUUUGAACAUAACCUAAUAGCAAUCUGACCAUAAAUUGAUACAAUUUAGACACGUGCCACGAGAAUAACCAAAUGUCAACAAGUAUGGGAAUUACUGAAAUGCCUUAGACUAAGCAAAGAACUAACAUCUUAGACAAUGCCAAGACACGAUAUGCCACAGUGAAUGCUUCUAGAUGGACUUAGGAGGAUUAUUAUUCUGCAGGAGUAACUGUUAAUUGUGAUGGAUAGACAGCUGAUUUUUUAGGUUUCUGGUAGACCACUGAAUCAUUAGAUUCUGUAAAUUUGUAAUUGUUCUUCACCAACUUUGAUGCUUCAUUAAUAAGGUUAUUCUUUCCUUUGUGAACAAUGAGGAUUACUAAUUUUAUGUCUUGGGAUCUUCCACAAUGAUAUAACUUACUUAUGAACUCUCUCAGCAUUUAAACCAUAAGAUUUCUUCUUUUCCUUUUUAUAUGUUUACUUAAUCUGACUUCUUUCAAUUUCGUUUCAUGAUUAUUGUGGCCUUUUAUUCUGCAUAUUGGAUAGAUGAUGAAUGCUGCUCCUGAAUAAUCUUGACAGUAAUAAGUAGGUUAUCUGACUGGCUUGUGUGCAUGCAAAGUAACAAGGGUAAUUUUGGUGAGCAGUGAUAUGCACUUCAAAAGUCUGUUGGUUUUUGAGUUUUUGGUCUAGAGCUUUAUGAUUCUGGAGAAGUUCCUUCGGGCAUUUUUAUAUUGCAAUGGUUCUAGGAGUAUUUUUGUAUGGGGAGACAGGUUGGACACGCAUAGUUAGGGAUUGAUGAUGCUAUUUACAGUUGAUGUUUUCAGUCUUCACUUUGUACAAUUGUUAAGGAUUUAUGGUUUUAGAUAUGUUGGAUUUUAUGCGCAAUAUUAAAGAGAUGAAAAAGAUAAUCAACACAAGAAUUUACGUGGUUCGGCGGUGUGCCUACGUCCACAAGAGCGAAGCGAAGAUUUCUUUAUUCAGUAGUGAAAAAUAGGGUUACAACAUAUUAUUUAUUCCGUUCCGUUAGAUGCGCUCAGCUCCUCUCACUCCACUCCGCUCCGCGCCGGCAUCGGCCCAUUUGAUCCAAUAUCUGUGUUCCACUCUAUAUGAACUACAUGCACAACAAGAUACUAGUAUGGUGGGUAAGAUCAAUUUAUAGCUCCUUAGAAUGAGAAUUCAAAGGUGAAAAUUGUGGAACCAAGUUGCCCUAUGCAAUGCCUCUAUCUUCUUUUGCUUGAUUUUUACCUCCAACCUUUCACUAAUAAGCAAGAAUUAUCCUUUGGACGAUUUCAAUUCAUUCCAGAGAGGCUAUGCUGUAUACUAGAGUAAAGAGUAAAAAAGAAACCUCAAUUUACUUUUAGAUAGUUCCUUCUGGCCUCAAAGUAAAACACUCUCUAAGAUUUCGUACUCAGGCAAGUUUGUUGGUCUGUGUGAAAACCAGCAUGCAGUUCAAUGAUUACCAUUUUUCUUAGGGUUUAAAGUUAUUUUAAUACUUAGGUUCUUUUUGUUAGCCAUAUAUAAUUGCAUGUAUUUUGGGAUUUGAUUGUAAUUUAUAUUAGGUUAAUAGGCUAAUUAGUUCUUACCAUAGUUAGAAAACUUACCAUAAUUGUUGUAAAUCUUAUCUUUAUAAGAGAGGUACUCCCUCGAUGGAAGGGAUAAUUUUUGAACAAUUCAAACCAUUUUAACAUGGUAUCAAAGCCCUCCCUUUAGAAUUUCCCUUCGAGUCUCGAUUUACUUUUGGUGCGCUUCAAUUGAGGAAUUUUUCUUGGGGUGUCGGCAAUUUUUUGUUCAUGAAAUUUCUCUGGAGCAAGCUUCUUGGUCAGCAAAAUCGGCAAUUGGAGUUGUCUUCUUGGUCGAUAGAUCCCACUAUUGGAUUUUCUUGGUGGUGGCUUGUUGAUUUGUGAUUGUGCAGGGAAUUUUUUUAGCUUUCCUCUUCUCGGGCUCCACAUGGUAUAUCUUCUGUGUCAAAUAAAUUCUGCCGACGAUUGCGUCUCGGGUUCUCGCCGUUCGCUGUUCGAAUUUUGUUUGACAGAUUCUUGGAUUGCGUCUUCGCAUAGGGCGUCGUCUACAGGAAGUCGUCGUUUUUUCUCUACUGGACACAGACAGACGAGUGAGCAGGUAAUCUUUUGGGUUUCAGAAUUCGGGCUGUGCAUAUUGGGCUUGGGCUUGAAUCCUUUUAAUAUCAUUUUGGAUUUAUCUCUUAAAAUUUAGACCGUUAAUCUUGGAUUUGUUUUGGACAUUUUCUUCGGAUUGGGCUUGAGAUUAUUUAGUUGGACUUGAUAUUUUAUUGGACUUGUAUCUUUGCAUUUCUUCAUGUCUGGAGAAAAUUCAAUUAUUCGUUUUAAUGGAAAAAAUUACUCGAGUUGGGAAUUUCAGUUCCGGAUGUUUGUGAAAGGGAAAGAAUUAUAGGGUCAUUUGGACGGCUCUUCUAAGGCUCCGACCGAUAUCAGAGAACUUAGCUCAUGGGAAAGUAAGGACGCCAAGAAUAAGUUCUGUUGAACCACACAUGGUCAACAAUCUUCGUUCGUUCACUACUGCUAAAGAAAUGUGGGAUUAUCUCAGGCGUGUUUACUAUCAAGAUAACUCUGCCCAGAAGUUCCAAUUGGAGUUAGAAAUUGCUAACUAUAAAUAGGGUAAUCUCUCUAUUGACCAAUUUUAUGCUGGAUUUCUUAAUUUAUGGAGUGAAUAUUCUGGAAUAGUUUAUUCCAAAAUUCCCAAGGAAGCUUUAGCUGCUCUUCAAGUUAUCCAUGCUGAAAGUCAAAGAGAUCAAUUUUUUACGAAGUUGAGACCUGAACUUGAGACUGCAGGGCCUGGCUUACUGAACCGUACUCCUGUUCCCUCUUUGGACGUAUGUUUGGGAGAACUAUUAUGUGAAGAAGAAUGUCUUGCCACUCAACUCGGCAUAACCGAAGAAUCAAUGACUACUGAGAUGGUUAAUGUGGCGUACGCUGCUCAAGGAAAAGGAAAAAUGAAGACCCAGAUACAAUGCUACAGUUGCAAGGAGUUUGGGCAUAUUGCGAAGAACUGCAAUAAGAAAUUCUGUAAUUAUUGCAAAAAGGAUGGACACAUCAUUAAAGAUUGUCGCUUACGACCUCAGAAUAGGCAAGGCUCAACUUUUCACAACGCAAUCCAGUCUAACUCAGCUGUUUUGUCCUUUGCUUCCACUCCUACUGUUUCUUCGUCUACUCUUACACCUGAAAUUGUUCAAUAGAUGAUUGUUUCUGCUUUUUCUGCUCUUGGUCAUCAAGGUAAGAAAAAUCUACUUGUCUCUCCUUGGUUGGUCGAUUCUGCAGCCUCAAAUCAUAUGACAAGUAAUACAGAGGCUCUGAUUAAUAUUCGUAAGUAUAAAGGUGAUCAACAUAUUCAAACUGCCAAUGGGAGUACUCUUCCUAUUACAGCAAUUGGAAAUUUGGGAUCUUCUUUCACUAAUGUAUUUGUGUCACCAGAAUUAUCUACGAAUUUAAUUUCUGUUGGACAAUUGGUUGAUGAUAAUUGUGAAAUCCGUUUUAAUCAGAAUGGUGGUUGUGUGCAGGAUCAAGCGUCGGGGAAAGUGAUCGCGAAGGGCCUAAAGUGGGACGUUUAUUUCCUCUUCAAUUUUCCAUUUCUGAUUCAUUUGCUUGUACUGCUAUUAUUAAUAGUAAUGUUUGGCAUAAGAAAUUGGGACAUCCUAAUUCUAAUGUUUUGAUUCAUCUCUUAAAGAAUGGUUAUUUGGGCAAUAAAAAUUCAUCUUCUCAUGUGUCUUCUGAUUGCAAUUCUUGUAAACUUGGUAAAAGCAAAUCCUUACCUUUUCCUUCACAUGGUAGUCGUGCUUCCACAUGUUUUGAGAUUAUCGUAAGUCCCGUACUUUCGCAUGCUCAAUAUAAGUAUUUCGUAAUAUUUAUUGAUGAUUAUAGUCAUUUCACUUAGGUCUAUUUCCUUCGAGCUAAAACUGAUGUGUUCUCCAUCUUUCAAAACUUUGUUGCUUUUGUUGAGACCCAAUUUUCUACUAGCAUUAAGAUACUUCGUUGUGACUCUGGAGGGGGAAUACAUGUCCAACAAUUUCCAAGAAUAUCUAAAAACAAAAAGGGAUUCUCUCCCAACGAUCUUGACCUUACACUCCCCAAUAGAACGGGGUUGCGGAGCGUAAAAAAUGUCACUUUUAAGAUGUUGUUCGUACUUUAUUAAUUAAAUCUUCAGUACCCUCUAGAUUUUGGGUCGAAACUUUAUCGACAGAUGUCUAUUUGAUUAAUCGUCUUCCCUCUCCAAAUUUACAAUUUGACUCUCCGUAUUCUCGAUUAUUUAAUGUAGCACCUGAGUAUGAUUCACUUCAUAUAUUUGUCUAUGUUUGUUUUAUCCACUUACCUUCUACUGAAUAUCACAAACUUACAGCUCAGGCUGCUCGAUGUGCAUUCCUCGGGUAUAGUAAUGCACACAAAGGGUAUGUGUGUUAUGAUGUGGAUGCUAACAAAAUUCGUAUCUCUCGAAAUGUGGUUUUCUUUAACAACGAAUAUUUCUUCCAGUCUCGUGUUGUUCAUGAUUCUGCCUCUAUUUAGCUUCCUACGUUUGAUGAUAUAUCUUGUAAUGUUGAGCGCUUUAAGGCGGGAUUUGUAUACUAGAGAAGUCCCCUCCUGCCACCUUCGGACACUGAACCGUCGCCUGAUCCCAUCAUCCCUGAACCUCGAUGAUCUUCUUGGGUCUCACGCCCUCCAGAUAAGUAUGGUUUCUCGCAUAUUGCUAAUCAAGCUACCCUUGAUACUACUUCUGUGCCCAAAUUUUACUCUCAAGCUUCUAUUCAUGCAUUUUGGUGGAAAGCUAUGCAGGAAGAACUUCAGGCACUUUAGGAUAAUCAUACUUGGGAUAUUGUUCCAUAUCCUGAUGGGGUAAAACUUCUUGGAUGCAAAUGGGUAUAUACGAUUAAACUUCGGCCUGAUGGUACUAUAGAGAGAGAUAAAGCCCGAUUGGUGGCUCUUGGGAACUAUAAGGUGUAUGGUCUUGAUUAUGAGGAGACCUUCGCCCCUGUCGCAAAGAUGACUACUGUGAGGACUAUUAUGGCUAUAGCCGCUUCUAGAGAAUGGUCUCUCAAGCAGAUGGAUGUGAAAAAUGCAUUCUUACAUGGUGAUUUGAAGGAGGAAGUAUAUAUGAGUCCUCCUCCUGGUAUGUUCUCUCACUCUUCUACUGAGGUUUGUCGGUUGAGGCACUCUUUAUAUAGAUUGAAACGGGCACCAUGCGCUUGGUUUGAGAAGUUCCGUACCACUUUACUUGAUUUUCAUUUCACUCAAAGUCAGUCUGAUUCCUCCCUAUUUCUUAAACGCACUAUUGAUGGACUUGUUGUGCUUUUGGUAUAUGUGGAUGAUAUUGUGAUCACAGGAUCUGACACUCAGUCGAUUGUGCAACUUCAGCAGCAUCUUAACACCACCUUUCAUAUGAAAGAUCUUAGUUCUCUACAGUAUUUUCUCGGUUUUCAGGUGCAUUCCUAUCCUCAUGGUCUACUUAUACAUCAACACAAGUAUACCCAAGAGAUUCUCACCUCAGCUGGCCUUCAAUCUGGGAAUUCCGUGCUUACUCCACUAGAAGUUAAUUUCAAGCUCAGCCAAGAUGGAGGAGAACUCUUACCUGAUCCAUCCUUAUACCGACAGCUUGUAUGAAGUUUGAACUAUUUGACAAUUACUCGACCCGAUAUUUCUUUUGCUGUACAACAAGUCAGUCAGUUUAUGCAGGCUCCACGACAACCUCAUUUAGCAACCGUACGAAGAAUUCUUAGUUACCUCAAGGGUACAUCUGGUCGAGGGUUGUUUUUCCCUAUAGGGAAUUCUUUGCAAUUAAAGGGUUAUAGUGACGCUGAUUGGGUUGGUUGUGUGGACACUCGACGUUCAGUUACUGGUUGGUGCAUGUUUCUUGGUGAUGCACUUAUAUCUUGGAAGAGUAAGAAGCAGGAUCGUGUCUCGAAGUCCUCUACUGAGUAUCGUGCUAUGUCAUCCGCCUGCUCAGAAAUUGUGUGGCUUCGGGGUUUGUUAGGAGAACUUGGAAUCCCUUAGCUUGCUUCUACUCCGCUUUAUGCUCAUAACACCAGUGCUAUUCAGAUUGCCGCAAAUCUUGUAUUUCAUGAACGCACCAAGUAUAUUGAAGUAGAUUGCCAUUCUAUCCGUGAAGCCCUUGAUCAACAUGUGAUUACACUUCUUCACAUCUCCACGGAACAUCAAACUACAGAUGUUUUUACCAAGGCCCCUAUCUCGCCAAUGUCAUCAGUUCAUGAUUGACAAACUGAUGCUUUUUGAUCGACCAGUAUCAAUUUGAGGGGGGAUGUUAGCCAUAUAUAAUUGCAUGUAUUAUGGGAUUUUAUUGUAAUUUAUAUUAGGUUAAUAGGCUAAUUAGUUCUUACCAUAGUUAGAAAACUUACCAUAAUUGCUGUAAAUCUUAUCUUUAUAAUAGAGGUACUCCUCGAUGGAAGGGACAAUUUUUGAACAAUUCAAACCAUUUUAUCACUUGUUUCAAUCAAAAUGACUAGACAAUGUUCUAACUUUGUUGUUCACAGAUUUUUACAUCUCUAUUUGAUUCUAUUCAUUGGUCUGCAGUACAUUACAAACUAGCUCCAUUGGCAUCCUAGUUUCCUUGUAAUUGGAUGUGAAAUUUUUAAAUUAUUUUUUCCAGAGUUGUGGGGGUCCUAAUGCUCAUGGGAUGAAAAGUGCCAGUGGUAAAAUGGCAAAACAAGCUGCAUUGGCUUUUGUCAAGCGGACAUUGGAACGAUGUCGGGAAUUUGAUGUAACUGGAAAGAGCUGCUUUGGUGAGCCUUUGUAUAAAGAAAUUUUCCUUUCUGGAGUUGCACACCUCGGUGACAUACAAGCAGUGAAUUCAAGUGCUGAUAAUGAAUCUGGAAAGCAGCAGUUUAACACAUCUGGAUGUUCUAUUGAAGUUAGAACUUCAGGUUGGUCCCAUUGAUAGAUACCUGAAUGCUUAUCAACAUUUUAGUAUCUUUAAAUAAGUCUUACAUUUGCAGGUUUUCUGCAUUCUAAUUUAACUAGCACUACUUAGAAUAGAAACUAAUACAUAUCUCUGGCUAAAUCUGAUGGGACCAUCAGAUAUGUAUAUCCAUAAGCCCUGUGGAUGAGGUUUAUGUAUGAAACACGGUUCUCACGUUCUCAACCCUUGACAACAUGCAUUUGUGACUAAAUUUUUAUGAAAAUUAGCAUGAUAAGAUUUACUUUACUCUGAAGAUUGAAUGAUUUUCUUGCAAAAGAUUGUGGGCAAAAUAAAAUAAUGUGACAAAAACAUUUUUCCUGAUUAGUCUUUAAGACAUGCUUCUAGCUGUAAUGUGAAAUGUUUGAAGUUAAAAGGAUCCGAGUAGGUAGGUUAAUUUAGGCACAGUAUUGUAUACAUAGGGCAUUAAUGGUAUAAAAGACUUGUUUGACAAGCCUCUAGCUAUUUUUUCUUAUGUUAUGAUGGUACUUUUUUUGUCCAUUAUCUUAGUAUUGGAGGUGUUUUUUGUUUUGCAGCUCCCUUGGGAGCACAGCACAGCCCAUCUUCAAACAAUCAAGAAAUUUAUUCUUCUGGAGCUCCCAAAUCGGCAAAUCUAGGUUCUGAACAAACUACUGGCAAAGACAACAUCUGGUCGAAUAGGGCGAAGAAGUGCGAGUUACCGCCUGAUGAAACUGUUGGUGGUACACUUAGCUCAUCCACCAAUGUCUCAUCAGGCAUUGGAAGUUCUAUUUUGAGCAGCGCAAAAGGGAAAAGGAGUGAGAGAGAAGGAAAGGGAAAUAGCAGAGAGGCGCUAUCCAGAAGUGGAAGCACUAAAGUUGUUCGGGCUGCACUGGCCAAUGUCAAGGGAGAGAGAAAGCCUAAAGCAAAACCUAGACAGAAAACAGGUCAACUCACUGCUUCUGUCAAUGGCCCUCUUGGAAAGAUGUCUGAGCGGCGAAAAACAACAUUGCUUUCUGCACCCAUAUCAAAUGAGAGGAGUGGAAGUGGCACUGACAAUGAUAAAAAUGACGAUAAUGUAGACCUCUUGGAGGAACCCAUAGAUUUGUCUGGCUUGCAACUUCCUGGAAUGGGCGAUCUAGCUGUACAUGAUGAUCUUGCUGGUCAAGGAGAGGAUCUAGGGUCUUGGUUGAACAACAUUGAGGACGAUGUAUUGCAAGAUCAUGACUAUAUGGGUGGGCUUGAAAUUCCUAUGGAUGAUCUAGCAGACUUGAAUAUGAUGGUUUGACCUUUCAAUCUUUGUAUAUUCCUGUCUAUUAUACAAUCACAGGUGAAAAAUCGUUGUUCGUGGAAGACCAGUUACAAGGAUGUCAUGUGACUCAGUCCUGGCUGUGAGUGGGCCAUAUAUUCUUUUGGUUACUCCCUACACAAGUUGAGGUUUGAGUGAACCUCUGAGACGCUUGAAUGUUUUUCCUGUUCAAGUUGACACCUUGACUGUAAAGAUCAUUUUGUUUGACGUUAGUAUCUUAAUGAUAAGGUCUUAGAAAACCUAUAUUUUGGUUGUAGCAAUUACAUAUCAGAGAGCAAUGUCUUUGUACAUAAAAUUUAUAUUUUCAAUAAGUUACCAUUUUGUUUAUUUUGCAAUAUGGAGUAGGUGUUGUGAGAUGUUUUGACUUGUGUGUAUUAUGAGCUUCUAUUUCAGAUUUGAUUAAGUUGAUAACCUUAAAAGGUCGACUCCUUAUCUAUUGAAGUUACAGUUGCCCUAACUAUUUUGAGUGUGUAUGAUGCAGAAAGCCCUCAUUGUUCCCAUUGACAUCUGAGAUUCCUCGUUGAAUACGAAGGUAUUAACAGUGUAAGCUAAGAGGUGGUGCAUGUGCCGGAUUAUGGUCAAGUGGAUGAACUGUUUUAUUGGGGAUGCAAUCUACUGCAGACCAUAUAUCCUAUUUAAUCCCCAGGUUGACUUCCUUCAAAGUAUGCAUAAUUAACAUCCAGGACUUUCUCCGUGAUUGUUUAGUUAAAUGCUACUUAUAACUGGAGAGGAGCUACAAACUUGACUCCAGUAUAUAUAGGGUUUGCCAAUAUGUUGGUUAUCAAUUACUGAAUUGUAUGCUGUUGUGCUACUAAUGCAGCAUUUGUGAAGAAGUUCCGAGGCUUAUUUAAGAACUAGCUGCUUUUGAUUUUCCAAAAGUCACGUGCUCUUCACUAAUUUCCUCAUAUUGUCAUAGGAUAAUUAUAUAUUAUUCAUUUUAUUUCAUUUUUGUAUUAUAAAGUUUGUUUCAUUGACUAUGCAUCACUUAGUAUUGCAUAAUAUGUCCUCGAGAAAUUUCCUCUAAAUCAAGGAAAUAUUAUGAUUAUCUUGCUCCAGGGGUGAGAGAUUAUGUGGCUGUCUUUAUUUUCGUUGGAGUUACCCUACAGACUCUUGGAGGCUGAAUGCAUUUCUUGACUACAGUUAUUUGAAAACAGCAUGCCUUGGCAGCAAGUAUUUGAUGGCCCAAUAUUUUGGACACACUUCCUGUGCCAUCUGUCUUGGGAAAAUUUAUUCCUGCUGCUGUUCGAAGCAGCCCAAAAUAUAUUCUGUCACAGAUUCUCACUCCAGAUAUGUGGUAAAUCAUUGUUUUUACCUGUUUGAUUUUGAAGAUUUAUUUAUCUGAAUUUUAGCAAUUAGUUUUGCUAAAUUACAGGGGUAACAUCCUUCUGAAUAUUGUGGGUUUCAAUUUUUCUGAAGGUGUUUUUUCCAAUAAAAAUAUUUUUAAACACUGCAGACUAUUACAUGAAUACAAAACUUCUGUGCCAAUGAUGCAGUCAAAGUAAGUCCACUUAUGAUGCCCUAUGUUGCCUGCUACUCACAGUAAAUAUUUUUGUAUGAGGAUGUGGAGAAGUGAAUCCUUUUGUUCUGGUAUGUGGAUUUUUAUUAUUUAUAUCUGUCCAUCACACUUCACAAGUAGGAACAGUAUUCCUACCAAAUGAUAAAAGUUACAAAUCUCUGAGUCUCACAGCUUAAUGUUUAUUUCAUUCAGACAGGAACUCCUCUCCAAGUGGCAGCACUUGUACAAUUGAUUGUGCAGAAUAUGCUACCAGAAAUUACCUCUUCAUGUAAGGUAUUCGUAGUCAAUUUGUUUGAAGCAUUUUACUAAGUUCUUAUGUCAUUUUCAAAUAUCUAAACCUUUCACUGAUAGUACAAGCUAAAGAAUUAAAAAUCUGAAAAUAAAUCUAUCACAUUCGAAAAAUGUUGUGCUAAUAAAAAGGUCAGCGUUAAACAAAAUGUGGACGAAAUGAAAAUGCUUAUAUGAUUGUUGAUACUGCAAUGGAGGAUAAUAUGGAAGAGCCGUAUGAUUUCAGAACUUGUUCAGAUGUGAUGUAAUGCUAUCUGUAAAGUUGUGUGCAAGGCUUUAUUAGAUGUUUUAUUUUUAUUUAAUUGUUUUAUUUUUACUAAUUAAGGUCUAAUUUAUAUUUUUAAUUAUCUAGGGUUGAAUUUAUAUUUCAUUAGGAGUUUAGGAAGUAUGAAUGCAAUUUUAAUUAGGUUUGCUCUAGGUAUUAGAGCCACAACUGUAUUUCAGGGACAUUUUGAUUGAUUGACAAAUUAUAUUAAUAUAAAUGUGAGUUUUUUCUUCAAUACUGAACCAAAUCAAGGUUUUCGCUUGUUAUUGUUCUUGCUCACUUCUAUCUGCAUCAAGAUGGCCUGCACCAAUUUGUAGAAUAUCACUUGAUACAUUAGGUUAUCCCAGGGAAACAAAUUAUUCCAGAAAUUUGGCAAAAAGUGACAACAUUGAGUAUUUACAAGUGAAGUUUGGCCAAGGAGUGCACCAAGAGAUAACAUUUGACAGAAUAAAUAAGACAAAUUGCAUCCUCUAUCCCCAAACUAUACCCCAUUUGCAGUUUUAUCCCCAACAAUUUUUCUUGGCACUGAGCACCUCAACUUUGUUUCCAUCCAAAAUGGUUGUUAAGUUGGCAACGAAAGGCAUUCACACUUAAAACUCAAAUAAACAAAAAAAUAAAUACAAGGAAGGAAGGAGGAAGAAGAAAAGAGAAAAAAAAAAAAAAAAAAAGAAGAAGAAGAAGAAAAAAAGGAAAACAAACACCUUCUUUCUCAAUCCUCUGCAGCACCCACCGCCACCAAUGCUACCUCUUCGCGUGCAAAUGUGAGUAUAGGGUGGGGCUGCGAGUGUAAUUAAUGUGGAAAAAAAUUAGAAAAAGGCAAGAGCUUGUUUUGUAGGUAAAAUGUGGAUGAAUAACAAAAUCAUAAUAUAUUGACAAUCAGUUGCAGUAAACCUCUGUUACCUUGGUUUAUCUGAGUUGCGCAACCAUUGUCGUCUAUAUAGUCCUUUUGAGAACAAUUGUUCAAUAACUUAUAUUCCUGGCAUUCAUGUAGAAGGAACUGCAGAUAUGCACCUUGGAAAGCAAAAUACUUCUAGCAAUCACUAUCUUGAUAUUGUCAAAGCCAUGCUCUUGGUGAUCUGUUUGGGGCUUUCAAUAUAUAUGCUGGGCUUUUUGACUGAAAACUGGGAUGGAUCGUGGUCAUGAGUACUUUACUUUGUUAGCAUUAUGGGAAUAUGAAGGCGGAUGGUUUCCUCGUGCUGCAUUAUUAUUGCAAGUUUAAUGAAAGGGUUUGUUGGGUGCAGUUACCCCCACUGGAGUUUGAGGGAAGGUCUUUGAGAUGGAAAAGAAAUAGUGAGAUGUCAUGUAAAUUGUAAUUCUGACGAAUCAAUGUGAAAAAACUUGUUCUUUUUGUUACGUAUUGUCAUAAUUAGCCAACCUACUUGGGCCUAUGGCCCACUCAAUCCGAACCAUGUGGCGCUCUAACCGAGGUGGCACGUAUGGCCGAGGCCCUUCAUGUCGAGACCCAUAUACCGAGGCCUGUGAAAGUAGCCGAAGCCCUAAAGCGGAAGUAUUACAUAUGGCAGAAGCCCUGAAUCCAAAGCCGAAGCAGAAGCCUCCGAACCGUGAAGGAAUGUCUUCCAUGAUUACUUCUCCCAAGAGAUCUUCUACAUAAAGAUCUUACUUGAAUGAUUGAUGAAACGUUUGUCAUAAGUGUACAUGUCAAGUUUUUUCAUUAGCAUGGGGGUUCUGCAUAAGCAAUAAAUGCGCAGCAAGCUAGCAAGUCAAGGAUGAUGCCUAGGAUUGGAUGUUUGGAUUAAAGAGAUGAGGCCGCGUGCCACCUCAUCCAAGGACUGUCAUGUACCACUAUAAAUACUUCCCUUGUGUAACAUUAAAGGGCUAAUGCAAGAAUCAAUACAAGAAACCAUACUUUACUCUCUUUCAAAUUAUCUUGCAACACAAUACAAGUUAAUACAUAUUUACAUGCACAUUCAUGAGCACUUAUUGGUAAUUAUUGUACAAUCGGAUUACGAACAUCCCAUCGGAUUCCGAACGUUCUCG
rnacentral:lncRNA from 1 species